rnacentral:rRNA from 1 species
AACGAACGCUGGCGGCAGGCUUAACACAUGCAAGUCGAGCGCCCCGCAAGGGGAGCGGCAGACGGGUGAGUAACACGUGGGGAUCUGCCCAAUGGUACGGAAUAGCUCCGGGAAACUGGAAAUAAUACCGUAUGUGCCCACAAGGGGAAAGAUUUAUCGCCAUUGGAUGAACCCGCGUCGGAUUAGCUAGUUGGUGGGGUAAAGGCUCACCAAGGCGACGAUCCGUAGCAGGUCUGAGAGGAUGAUCAGCCACACUGGGACUGAGACACGGCCCAGACUCCUACGGGAGGCAGCAGUGGGGAAUAUUGGACAAUGGGCGCAAGCCUGAUCCAGCCAUGCCGCGUGAGUGAUGAAGGCCUUAGGGUUGUAAAGCUCUUUCGCCGACGAAGAUAAUGACGGUAGUCGGAGAAGAAGCCCCGGCUAACUUCGUGCCAGCAGCCGCCGUAAGAC